GACGAACGCUGGCGGCGUGCCUAACACAUGCAAGUCGAACGAAGCACUGAAAUUGAUUUCUUCGGAAUGAUUUUUCUUUGACUGAGUGGCGGACGGGUGAGUAACACGUGAGCAACCUGCCUUUCAGAGCGGGAUAGCAGUUGGAAACGACUGAUAAUACCGCAUGACAUGUUUCCUCCGCAUGAGGAAAACAUCAAAUGAUUUUUCGCUGAAAGAUGGGCUCGCGUCCGAUUAGGUAGUUGGUGAGGCAACGGCUCACCAAGCCGACGAUCGGUAGCCGGACUGAGAGGUCGAUCGGCCACAUUGGGACUGAGACACGGCCCAG
rnacentral:rRNA from 1 species